rnacentral:lncRNA from 1 species
GCUAGAGGAAAGCACUCAAAAAUACUAGGGUAGCCAAACCAGAGAAUGGAGAGAUUUUUAAUACUUUGAUUCCUUCUUCUACCUCACAAUGUUUACAGCUCUCACCCCCAGAAGAGAGAUGGGGAAACAUUGGUGAAUGACGACUACUCAGGCCUUACAAUAUACCAGCAUGGGACUCAUUUUUACAUAUAUUUUCUUCAUUCAAAUCUCACAGUAACCCUUAAGUAUAGCAUGUUUUUCCAGAUCUGGCAGUUCUCAAAAUUGUUGAUCUUUCUUCCAAACCGUACACCUCUCUAGGGGCAAAAGAACUAGCUUAGUAUAGCAGAAACGGUUUUCAUCCGGCUAUUCUUCUAGGAAUCAGAGACAGUCAUUGUGAAUAAAGUGGACAGAAUGCAGGUCCUUGUAGACUCACAUUCUACUGGGGUAUAUAGGCAAUAAAUUAGAUAAAUGAGCAAAUUAGAAAGCAUGUCAGAUAUUAGUAAUGGUUAAGGAGAAAAAAUGCUGAAGAAAGGGAAUAGUACUUCCAAAAGACAAGGGAUAGGUGGGGAGGGGACCAGAUAAAGUCUCCUUAGAGGCAUAAGAGGACAAGCUUUUCUUAAAUCAUGUGACUCUGUCAAUCAAAAUCUCCUUUUGACAGGCUUUCCUGUCUUUCAAAGUAGUUAGAGAAAAAUUGUUUCCAUCCCUAGUCUGUUACUGUAUACCUUGUUCUUCCUUAUCAUUCAGGUCUCAGAUAGGCCAGUCCUGGCUACACAAAGCUAGUUGCCUCAUCAUUUACCAGGCAGUCAUCACUCUCUAGCACAUAUCACAUCUAACACUUUCUACAACUUGUAAUUUAAUUGCAUGUUUAUUUAUUUGCAUGUUUGUCUCCCCACCAUUUAUAUUUAUGAGCAGGAGGCCCAGGAUAAGGUCUUGCCACACCUGCCCACAUCCAAUGCUCAGCUCAGUGCCUGACGACUCUGUGAAGAGGAAUGAAUAUACCCUUCUAGCAAUCAUCAUGGAUAGCCUUAAUUCCUCUGUGAAAAACCUGUUGUUUUACAAUUACUUUUCACCAGCACAUUUAUCAUAUAAUGUAAGGGAAUCCUGCUAUUCCGUGACAGUAACACACAAUCAAGGCUUUAAGAAAAUAAAAGGCAAAGAAUAUCAAAGCACUUCAAAGUUAGAAGGAGGCGUUUGGUCCUCUCUCCUCCUCUGUAGUCUGUAG